GAUAAACGCUGGCGGCGUGCCUAAAACAUGCAAGUCGAACGGGCACCUUUCGGGGUGUCAGUGGCGGACGGCUGAGUAACACGUGGGUGACCUGCCCUCGAGCGGGGGAUAACUGCCCGAAAGGGUGGCUAAUACCGCAGACAUCACGGGUUCGGUCUCGUGAUUGAACUUGAGGGGUUCGGGGAGGGGCCCGCGGUCGAUUAGCUGGUUGGUGGGGUAACGGCCUACCAAGGCUGCGAUCGAUAGCUGGUCUGAGAGGAUGAUCAGCCAGACUGGGACUGCGAACGGCCCAGACUCCUACGGGAGGCAGCAGUUAGGAAUUUUGGGCAAUGGGCGGAAGCCUGACCCAGCAACGCCGCGUGGGUGAUGAAGGCCCUCGGGUCGUAAAGCCCUUUUCCCAGGGAAGAUGGUGACGGUACCUGGGGAAUCAGCCCCGGCUAACUACGUGCCAGCAGCCGCAGUA
rnacentral:rRNA from 1 species